CAAUAUUAUUUAAGAUAGGAGUAGUAGAAGAAAGGGUUUUAAUAGAAACAUUGCAUGAGAUAUAUGCAAACAUGUGCCGUUAUCUACGCCCACAGAAGAGAAACUGGAUUAGCAAUAGUUUAGGUAACAUGCAUAUUAGCACCAUUGUUCGCGUACUAUUGAUAUUAAUUUAAAAGAGUUUGUAUUGGCUUCUGCAACCAUGACAGCUAAGUCAAUGGGAGGAUGAUUCCUUAAAAAGAGUAAUUACUGCGGUUAAAGCAAUCCAAGGCCUGAUAUCGCUUGUAGAUUUGGCAUGGAGAUCAGGAACAAGAGUCAGAAGGAGAUGAUGAAGAUGGGCGUGGGAGGUGAGGUAGUGGCUGCCGAACCUGAGAGGAAGCACUACCCGAUCCUUGAGAUGCCCCUGAGAAGCAAGAUUUAUUACUGCUGUGACGAGAACCUAUUUUGGCUGCAGGCUUUCUUUCAAUCCAACCUUGCUGGCAAAAUAAUCUCCAUGGUUUUGUACCCGCGCCUUCCCAACCUUUGCCUCCGAUGCUAGCUCUUGACUUGGAAAGCAUGCCACUGUCUUUGCCACAGGUGCUUAUGGAUCCGCUCGGUCAACUGAAACUCCUGCCCGUGCCUCUACCGCCCAGCUGCUUUGCCUGGACUCCUAGCUCCAGAGGGUUAGGAAAAAGGACUGAUGGAAGAAAGAAAGAGUCAAGCGAUAGACAAGAGCCAUAGAUGGAAGCGGAGGUAGUAGAACCAGUAAAGGGAGCUUUAGGAAAGUGGGGGUUGUUUUUUGAUGUUAGAAUCGGCACGAGAUUGUUGUCCAUUGGAAGUGAGGGGGAAGGAGUUGUUUACUUAACAUGAUAGAUGGUUUAUACCGAGUAUGAAAGAGAAGGAAGGGGAGUAAGUUCGGGAAAGGAGGUAUUUUUUUUUAAAAAGAGGAGGACUAUGGGUGUUUAUUCAUUCUUCUUAUAAUGGUUAAAUAGUUGAAAUUUGAUUGUUUAUUGUGAUUUUGUGUUUUAAUUAUUUGUUUUAUUAACUAAAGCUGCUUUAAUUUU